rnacentral:rRNA from 1 species
ACAUGCAGUCGAACGCCCUCUUCGGAGGGAGUGGCAGACGGGUGAGUAACACGUGGGAAUCUACCUAUCGAUACGGAACAACACAUAGAAAUGUGUGCUAAUACCGUAUACGCCCUUCGGGGGAAAGAUUUAUCGUCGAUAGAUGAGCCCGCGCUUGAUUAGCUAGUUGGUGAGGUAAUGGCUCACCAAGGCGACGAUCAAUAGCUGGUCUGAGAGGAUGAUCAGCCACACUGGGACUGAGACACGGCCCAGACUCCUACGGGAGGCAGCAGUGGGGAAUAUUGGACAAUGGGCGCAAGCCUGAUCCAGCCAUGCCGCGUGUGUGAUGAAGGCCCUAGGGUUGUAAAGCACUUUCAACGGUGAAGAUAAUGACGGUAACCGUAGAAGAAGCCCCGGCUAACUUCGUGCCAGCAGCCGCGGUAAUACGAAGGGGGCUAGCGUUGUUCGGAAUAACUGGGCGUAAAGCGCACGUAGGCGGAU